CAGUAAAUAGUUUAUAAAAAUAUUAAUUUUGGGGAUUAAUGAUAAGCAUAAAAUUGUGCUUUUUACUGA
rnacentral:tRNA from 1 species